rnacentral:tRNA from 1 species
GCGCGAGUGGUUUAGUGGUUAACUACAAAGUCCACAGAUAAUCUGGCCUUGCCAAGGCUGGGACCCGGGUUCGAUCCCCGGCUCACGCA